rnacentral:rRNA from 1 species
UACGUAGGGUGCGAGCGUUGUCCGGAAUUAUUGGGCGUAAAGAGCUCGUAGGCGGUUUGUCACGUCUGCUGUGAAAUCCCGAGGCUCAACCUCGGGCCUGCGGUGGGUACGGGCAGACUAGAGUGAUGUAGGGGAGACUGGAAUUCCUGGUGUAGCGGUGAAAUGCGCAGAUAUCAGGAGGAACACCGAUGGCGAAGGCAGGUCUCUGGGCAUUAACUGACGCUGAGGAGCGAAAAGCAUGGGGGAGCGAACAGG